GUCAGGGUGGCCGAGUGGUC
rnacentral:siRNA from 1 species